GAGGCAGCAGUAGGGAAUCUUCCGCAAUGGACGAAAGUCUGACGGAGCAACGCCGCGUGAGUGAUGAAGGCCUUCGGGUCGUAAAACUCUGUUGUUAGGGAAGAACAAGUACCGGAGUAACUGCCGGUACCUUGACGGUACCUAACCAGAAAGCCACGGCUAACUACGUGCCAGCAGCCGCGGUAA
rnacentral:rRNA from 1 species